AUACGGAAGGUCCGGGCGUUAUCCGGAUUUAUUGGGUUUAAAGGGAGCGCAGGCGGAGAUGCAAGCGUGACGUCAAAUUUCGGGGCUCAACCCCGUCUCGCGUCGCGAACUGCGUCCCUUGGUUGCGGGAAGGGGAGGCGGAACUCGUGGUGUAGCGGUGAAAUGCAUAGAUAUCACGAAGAACUCCGAUCGCGAAGGCAGCCUUCCGGCCCGUCAACGACGCUCAUGCUCGAAGGUGCGGGUAUCAAACAGGAUUGGAUACCCUGGUAGUCCGCACAGUAAACGAUGGACACCCGCGGUUUGGCCUAUAUGGCUGAGCCGCCAAGCGAAAGCGUUAAGUGUCCCACCUGGGAGUACGCCGGCAACGGUGAAACUCAAAGGAAUUGACGGGG
rnacentral:rRNA from 1 species